rnacentral:rRNA from 1 species
GACGAACGCUGGCGGCAGGCCUAACACAUGCAAGUCGAGCGGAGCGGCGGACGGGUGAGUAAUGCCUAGGAAUCUGCCUGGUAGUGGGGGAUAACGUCCGGAAACGGGCGCUAAUACCGCAUACUAUGAGAUGAGUCUAGGUCGGAUUAGCUAGUUGGUGGGGUAAAGGCCUACCAAGGGGACGAUCCGUAACUGGUCUGAGAGGAUGAUAGGGCAAACUGGAACUGAGACACGGUCAGGACUCCUACGGGAGGGAGAAGGUGGGAAUAUUGGACAAUGGGCGAAAGCCUGAUCCAGCCAUGCCGCGUGUGUGAAGAAGGUCUUCGGAUUGUAAAGCACUUUAAGUUGGGAGGCGUUACCAACAGAAUAAGCACCGGCUAACUUCGUGCCAGCAGCCGCGGUAAUAC